CCACCCUGGGCUGCGGAAAGCGUGCAGCAGUCUGCCCGCCCAGAGCACUGGAACUCUGGUUGGACACCAGUUCUCUUCCACUCCCCUUUAUCUCCCCGCCACCCCCCCCCGCCCCCGUGGCCACUGGCCCCCUCCCCACCCCCCGCGCGCACUCUUCCCAGUUCCUCCACUCCUGCUACUUUGAUACACUCCACGAUGGUCAUGGACUUUCCCUCUAAAACAUGAUGCCCAGCCCAGCCCACAGGACACCUCCCCGCUCCAAGCCCUGUUCCUUACAUGCUGUCAUUGCUGAACACGGCUAGCCUCUGGGACUCCUGAGGAGAAGAAAAUAUGCAAGGAAGAACAGGAGACAUUUAGAUCUUAAAAUACCAGAAGUCUGAAGAUAGCAAAUUAUCUCUGAGAUGUUUAUCUUCUCUCAACUAAUUUGAAAUGCUACUUUGAAAAUGUGUAAGAUCUUG
rnacentral:lncRNA from 1 species